UACAGAGGGUGCGAGCGUUGUCCGGAAUUACUGGGCGUAAAGGGCGCGUAGGUGGCUCGAUAAGUAGGAGGUGAAAUCUCACGGCUCAACCGGGAGGCUGCCUUCUAGACUGUCGAGCUCGAGCAUGGUAGAGGCGGAUGGAAUUCCCGGAGUAGCGGUGGAAUGCGUAGAGAUCGGGAAGAACACCAGUGGCGAAGGCGGUCCGCUGGGCCAUAGCUGACACUGAGGCGCGACAGCGUGGGGAGCAAACAGG
rnacentral:rRNA from 1 species